UACGAAGGACCCAAGCGUUAUCCGGAUUUAUUGGGUUUAAAUGGUGCGUAGGCGGGUUAUUAAGUCAGUGGUGAAAGCUCCUAGCUCAACUGGGAAAUUGCCAUUGAUACUGAUGAUCUUGAGUAUGAUUGAGGUGGGCGGAAUGUGUCAUGUAGCGGUGAAAUGCUUAGAUAUGACAUAGAACACCAAUUGCGAAGGCAGCUGGCUACACAUAUAUUGACACUGAGGCACGAAAGCGUGGGGAUCAAACAGG
rnacentral:rRNA from 1 species